rnacentral:rRNA from 1 species
CGUUCCCGGGUCUUGUACACACCGCCCGUCACACCAUGGGAGUGGGUUUUGCCGGAAGUAGUUAGCCUAACCGCAAGGAGGGCGAUUACCACGGUAGGAUUCGUGACUGGGGUG